rnacentral:tRNA from 1 species
UGGGGUGUGGCUCAGUGGGAGAGCACCUGCCCAACAAACUGGACGCCCUGGGUUCAAUCCCUAGCCCCACAA